rnacentral:lncRNA from 1 species
ACUUCCCUGGCUGGGACUGGCAAGGAGCCUGGAAAGUGUCCGUGUGAGAUUUCCCACGCUCCACAUCCCGACCACAGACCCUGCAAUCCGAGUCACAGGAGAGCCCCUCAGCCUCAUGGGCACUGAGUCUAGUACAGAGAGCUGCCUGGAGUCCAUGUGACACCACUGUUCCUGAGAGGAAGUUCAUGCAGGGUCCCACAUACUCCCAGGGACCCAAGCAGCUGCAGCACAGCACUGUUUUGAGAGCCCAGCUGCCACCAGGCUGCAUUUUGACCUGGGGCCCAGCAGCCCCUGCCUCUUCACAUCUCCAGAUCCCCAGUGACACCCUGGGUCCACUCACCCUGUCUAUCACCAUGCACAUGUGUCCAGACCAUCAAGAGGCCUGAAAAAAGUCCCAGGACACUAGCCACUGGCACCCAAGCAAACUGCCUGGAGGUCCAAGAAUCAGCCCACCUGGACCCACUAACACUAGUGUUCACCUGUAUCAUCCAGGGGCUGAAAGACAGACAUGACUGGCCUGCUGCCACCAGGCUAUACUUAUCGGAUAAAACAGACUUGAUAUACUUUGGAUUUUUUUCCCCACCCAAAUCUUAUGUUGAAAUGUAAUCCCCAAUGUUGGAGUUAAGGCCUGGUGGGAGAUGUCUGGAUCAUGAAGGCAGAUUCCUCAUAAAUGGCUUGGGCCAUCUCCUUGGUGAUAACCAUGUGAUGUGCCUGCUCCCUGUCAUCUCCCACCAUGAUUGUAAGCAUCCUGAGGUCUCCUCUAGAAGCCAAGCAGAUGCCAGCACCAGGCUUCCUGUAUAGUCUGCAGAAUCAUGAACCAAUUAAACCUCUUUUCUUUAUGAAUUACCCUGUCUCAGGUAUUUCUUUCUUUAUAGUAAUGCAACAAUGACCUAAUAAAACACUUUAAGUCAAAAACAGUCAAAGAAGACAAAGAAGGUCAUGACAUAAUUUAAAAGGGUUCAAUUCAGCCAGAGGAUAUAACAAUUCUAAAUAUAUAUGCACCCAACACGGGAACACCCAGAUACAUAAAGCAAACGUUGUAUUUAGAGGGAGAGAUAGACUAUAAUACAAUAAUAUUUGAGGACUUCGACACUCCACUCCUGGCAUUAGACAGAUCAUUGAGACAGAAAAUCAACAAAGAAAUGUUGGAUUAAAACUGCAUAUUAGAUGAAAUGGACCUAAGCAACAUUUACAGAAUGUUUCAUUCAAUGGCUAGAGAAUACACAUUCUUCUUAUCAGCACAUGGGCCAUUCUCCAGUAUAGACCAUAAGUUAGGCCACAAAACAAGUCUCAACAAAUUUUUAAAAAUCAAAAUUAUAUCAAGUAUCUUCUUAGACUGCAACAUAAUAAAACUGGAAAUCAAUAACAAGAAGGACUUUGGAAACAGUACAAAUAUGUGGAUAUUAAACAAUAUGUUUCUGAAUGCCUAUUGGGUCAAUGAAGAAAUUAAGAAAGAAAUCAAAGAAUUUCUUAAAACAAAUGUAAAUGGAAACACAGCACACCAAAACCUAUGUGACACAGCAAAAUCAGUGCUAAAGGUAAGUUUACAACAAUAAACACUUACAUCACAAAAGCAGAAAGAUUUCAAAUAGACAACCCAAUGAUAAACCUCAAAGAACUAAAAAAGCAAUAACAAACCAAAUCCAAAAUUACUUAAUCAUAGAUAAAAAAGAAUAACAAAGAUCAGCACAGACCUAAACAAAAUACAGACUAAAAAAAACAAAAAUCAAUGAAAAGAGUUUUUUAAAGAAGAUAAACAAAAUUAAUUAACUGCUAGCCAGAUUAACCAAGAAAAAAGAAAGAAGACCCAAAUAAACAAAAUCUGAAACAAAAAGGAGACAUUAAAAUUAAUACCACAGAAAUAAAAAAGACCAUCAGAGGCUACUAGGAACAAUUAUAUUUUAAUCAAUGGGAAACCUAGAAGAAAUCGAUGACAUACAACAUACAAAGAUUGAACCAAUAAGAAACAGAAUACCUGAACAGACCAAUAAUGAGUAACAAGAUUGAAUUAGUACUAAAAAGUCUCCCAACAAAGAAAAGCCUGGGACAGGAUGGCUUUACUGCCGAACUUUACCAAACUUAAAUUUAAAAAACAAACACAAAUCUUCUCAAACUAUUCCAAAAAAUUGCAGAGGAAGAAAUUCUUUCUAACUUAUUCUAUGCGGCCAGCAUUAGCCCCAUACCACACCAGACAAAGACACAACAGAAAACAAAGCUACAGGCCAAUAUCCCUGAUAAACAUAGAUGCAAAAAUUUUCAACAAAACUCAGGCAAACUGAAUCCAAAAAUGCAUCAAAAGAUAAUACACUGUAAUCAAUUGGGUUUUGUCCCAGAAAUGCAAGGAUGGCUCAACACAUACAAAUCAAUAAACAUGGUGAAUAUCACAUCAACAGAAUAAAGGACAAAAAUCACAUGAUCAAUAGAUGCAGAAAAGUAUUUGACAAAAUUUAACAUCCUUUCAUGAUAACAACUCUCAACAAAUUAGGCAUAGAAGACAUCAACAUAAUAAAGGCCAUAAAUGACAAGCCAAGAGCUAACAUCAUGCUGAAUGGGGAAAAGCUGAAAGCCUUUCCUCCAAGAACUAAAACAAACAAGGAUGCCCACUUGUCACCCCUCCUAUUCAACAUACUACUGG